GGCAUUCAGGUGCCAGAUCGCCUUUGGGGGCAGGAGAAGAGGAACAGGAAGUUCAGGGCCCCGCGCUGCCUGCCGCCGGCUCCCGCGUGCAAAGGCUGGAGGGGGCGGUCUGGUCGGAAGAAUCGCCCCCUUCCUCCUUCCUUCCGUCCGGCCCCUGCCUGCGGGGGGGGGGGAGAAGGGCAGAAAUGGAAGGGGGCGAGGCCGAGCACCUUCUGUAUCUUACCCCAUCCUCAGAGGUGUUUUUAGUGCCCAGCCCCUUUCCCCAGCCUAACAUCUGGGAACCAGGAGGCCAAGCCCCACGGCCCUCUAGGCUCCAGGAGGGCCAGGCCGUGGAGUCCCCUCCAUCCGCAUCCCCACCCCAAGCAGGUCCAUCUGUGCGCCGUGGCCUUGGGAGAGCCUUCCAGAAAUGAACAAAAAGGGCCCGUGGGAGCCCAGGUGGCCCCCAAACAGAGCACUGAGGACCACCCAGAGGGCAGCAGUGUCUCUGAAGCCCCAGGCAGCUGCUACGAGAGGCCCGAGAGGCCAUCCACCAUCACCUACGACUACUCCGAGGAAGAGCUGAUGGCCAGCAUUGAGCAGGAGUACUGCUGCUGAGGCCGGUGCUGCAGCAGCCCCGCUGUCACCCAGCGGCCAGUUUGCUGCUCCUCCCAGACCUGGCCCCACCUGCCCUGCCCAAGGCUCUAGGUGGAGCUGAGCCCCCUCCAACACGCAGUUACUCCUGGAUCUGUCACAGCUGACCCUUUCAAGUCCACAUUCAGAUGGGCCUGAAUCGGGGUGGCUGCUGCCCAUUGUGCUUAUUGGCAAGAGGAGGUCAGCUCUGUGGACACGGGCCAGAAGGAGGGUGCAGGUGCUGCCCCACAGGCGCGGGGCCAGGUGACCUGCCACAUACCUGCCCCUCCCCUCAGUCUCUGGGGAGAGUGGGCUACAAGAUGCUCCUGGAUCUUGAAAUGCUUCUCCUUUCUGAUGGCCCACGGGCCACCUGCUCAGGAGGCCCUUGAGCUGAAUGAAAGUCUUGGGGCCUCUAACACCCCUGCCGCAGCGCCUCAGGGACGUUCCCCGCAGCAGGUGCACCCAGCUGGAGGGAGCUGGAGGGAGUCACCCUCCAUGCCGCAAAGGAAUCGCUGAAGAUGCUACUGAAAUGAAAACAUUCAGAUUCUGUGCGUCUGGGGGCCUGGGAGUCUGCAUUUCUCACCAGCUCCCGGGUGAGACCCAGGCUGCCAGAUCCCAGCCACCCUUGGAGCAGCGAGGAUUGAGUCUGAGCUUUAGGCUCCAGGUAAUGCUUCCCUGGAGCUGGAGGCUGCUCAGAGCCACAGCCCAGCUGCCUCCACAAAGAGAGGUCUGUGCUGUGGCCAGUGUGGAGGGACAGGAGCUGGAACCCCCCCAUCUGAUCCUUGCUCUGUCACUAACUUGCAGUCCCCUUCCCUCUCUGACUCAGCUUCCCUUUCUAGAAAGGGAGCCCCGGAGGCUCUUCGGGUGUUGUAUCCCCACCCCCCCAUCUAGGACGACACACUCCCAGGCUUCCCUGGUCUCUGGGCACAGGACCACCUUCCUGCCCAGGUGGAGCCCAGCACCCCCUGGACAGGCUCUUCAGGGCCGCCUGCUCUUCCCACCCAGGAAGAAAGUAGGAAUCUCACAGCCGCAAGGCCAGAAGAGCCUCAGAACCUUCCCAGCCGCCAAAGGAGAAAGCCAGCCAAGGAUGCCCUGUGAAUGAGGCAGGGCCCGGAGAAGUGCAGCCUGGCCGGAAGGCUGCGCUCAGCAGGCUCGGAGUGUCAGAGCGGCCGGGAAGCAGCUCCUCUGGGGCAGCUGGCUGCGGUGUCAGUACAGAAAGCCUCGUGGAAGGCAUGGCCGCGUCCCAGCCAGAACAGGUCUCAGCUUGUCUGGUGUUAACCACUCACACAGCCGCCUCUGGGGCAUCGCCCACCAGCAAAGGGGCAAGAUGGUCUCAGAAACCGAGGAACGACCCCUUGGCCCUGUCCCCAGACCCAUGGGCCUGUUGCUAAAGGGGGCAAACAGGUGUUUCCACGAACCUUUAAGACUUGGCAACUGUGCCUUUGAUCAGAUGGUCCAGGAGUGGGAGAUUUUAACCUGCAAGUCAGAAGAUGGAGCGCUGGAGCCUCCCACUAAAUGCCCCUGAGGGUUGGCUCAGAAUGUCCUCAAAGCAAGAGCUAUUUCUCAUCCAAGCCCAGACCUUUCAUUUUGAUAUGGAGAUUAAAGCCAAUACUAUUUCGAGAACACAAAUACUUCUUUUAAAAGAAGUUAUGACUUUCUCACCACUGGAUGGAUCAGACCUUGAAUUUAAUGAUGUGAAAUUGGAAACCUCAUCCAACCCUUAAUGAGAUAAAAGCACGAAGAACAAAAAAAGCUUCCUGAAGUUACAUUUUAUGUCACUGUCAAGGCGAAUGCACUUCAUCAGAGCUAAGAAGUCACAGCGGUUGUUCUCAGAUCUUUUUAUUUUUAUUUUUUGCUUCCCUGAAUUCAGGAACAGCGUCUUCUGAACAGCGGCUUGCCAAAAAAGCAGCGUGUCCCAGCCCGUGAUGCAGAGAUGGGCAAUGGACGGAGGACGCUUGGUGGUGGCAGGGGUGCUGGUCCUGGUGGCGACUGCUUGUUGCACUCAAUGGGCACACAGUGCCUCCUGGGUGCUGAGCACUGCUUCAGGCCUUCUCUUGGGUGCUGGGUGCUGCUUCUGAGCCCCCGCUUCUGCUUAGGAGCUGAGUGUGGCAUCUGCUCAGGGAGAAUGUGGCUGAAAUAAAGGCGGGAAAAGAC
rnacentral:lncRNA from 1 species